GUCUUGGUAGCUCAGUUGGUAGAGCAUGAGACCCUUAAUCUCAGGGCCAUGGGUUCAAGCCCCAUGUUGGGCA